rnacentral:misc_RNA from 1 species
GGAAAAGGUGGGAAGUCAGGUGGGCAGGUCUGGCUCCCUGGGGCUUAGCCUACUAUGCUUUCUGGGCCCAUGAUUCUCAACAGAGGCCACAAUCUAUAAUUGUCAAGCAUGAAUUUAGCCAUUUUGGUGGUGUUGAACCAAAUUUUCGACCCAAUACAACAUGGAAGCUUGCCUGUUUGAUGAUCUAUGCUCCUGGGCCGGUGAUUCUCAACAUGCUUAACAGAGGCCACAACCUGUCAUUGUCAACCAUGCCGUUCUUAUGUAUUUAACCAUAUUAACUGUUUAAUUGUGAUUAAUUAAGCAGCAACUCUGAUUGCCUUAAAAUCAAGACCCGAAAAAUAUUAAUAUUUAGUUUCUCUGCGCUGAGGCCACACUGUAGAU